GCACAAGCGGUGGAUGAUGUGGUUUAAUUCGAUGCAACGCGAAAACCUUACCUACCCUUGACAUGUCAAGAAUUUUGCAGAGAUGUGAAAGUGCUCGAAAGAGAACUUGGACACAGGUGCUGCAUGGCCGUCGUCAGCUCGUGUCGUGAGAUGUUGGGUUAAGUCCCGCAACGAGCGCAACCCUUGUCAUUAGUUGCUACCGCAAGGAGCACUCUAAUGAGACUGCCGGUGACAAACCGGAGGAAGGUGGGGAUGACGUCAGGUCCUCAUGGCCCUUAUGGGUAGGGCUACACACGUCAUACAAUGGCCGGUACAGAGGGCUGCCAACCCGCGAGGGGGAGCCAAUCCCAGAAAACCGGUCGUAGUCCGGAUCGUAGUCUGCAACUCGACUGCGUGAAGUCGGAAUCGCUAGUAAUCGCGGAUCAGCACGCCGCGGUGAAUACGUUCCCGGGCCUU
rnacentral:rRNA from 1 species